rnacentral:rRNA from 1 species
AUUGAACGCUGGCGGCAGGCCUAACACAUGCAAGUCGAGCGAGCGGCGGACGGGUGAGUAAUGUAUGGGGAUCUGCCUGAUGGAGGGGGAUAACUACUGGAAACGGUAGCUAAUACCGCAUACCAUCAGAUGGACCCAGAUGGGAUUAGCUUGUAGGUGGGGUAACGGCUCACCUAGGCGACGAUCCCUAGCUGGUCUGAGAGGAGGAACAGCCACACUGGAACUGAGACACGGCCCAGACUCCUACGGGAGGCAGCAGUGGGGAAUAUUGCACAAUGGGCGCAAGCCUGAUGCAGCCAUGCCGCGUGUAUGAAGAAGGCCUUCGGGUUGUAAAGUACUUUCAGUUGGGAGGCGUUACCGAAAGAAGAAGCACCGGCUAACUCCGUGCCAGCAGCCGCGGUAAUAC